GAUUCGUCACACUAUCAUUAACUGAAUCCAUAGGUUAAUGAGGCGAACCGGGGGAACUGAAACAUCUAAGUACCCCGAGGAAAAGAAAUCAACCGAGAUUCCCCCAGUAGCGGCGAGCGAACGGGGAGGAGCCCAGAGCCUGAAUCAGCAUGUGUGUUAGUGGAAGCGUCUGGAAAGGCGCGCGAUACAGGGUGACAGCCCCGUACACAAAAGCGCAUGUGCUGUGAGCUCGAUGAGUAGGGCGGGACACGUGGUAUCCUGUCUGAAUAUGGGGGGACCAUCCUCCAAGGCUAAAUACUCCUGACUGACCGAUAGUGAACCAGUACCGUGAGGGAAAGGCGAAAAGAACCCCGGCGAGGGGAGUGAAAAAGAACCUGAAACCGUGUACGUACAAGCAGUGGGAGCCCCACCACUAAGCCAGUGGUG
rnacentral:rRNA from 1 species